GGCUUUAUAUUCAUAUUGUGAUUAUAGAAUGCAAUUCUAUAGGGGUAAUAACUAUUACUAAGGCUU
rnacentral:tRNA from 1 species